AUUGAACGCUGGCGGCAGGCUUAACACAUGCAAGUCGAGCGGUAACAGAGAGAAGCUUGCUUCUCUGCUGACGAGCGGCGGACGGGUGAGUAAUGCCUAGGAAUCUGCCUAGUAGUGGGGGAUAACUUGCCGAAAGGUAAGCUAAUACCGCAUACGUCCUACGGGAGAAAGGAGGGGACCUUCGGGCCUUUCGCUAUUAGAUGAGCCUAGGUCGGAUUAGUUAGUUGGUGAGGUAAUGGCUAACCAAGACCGCGAUCCGUAACUGGUCUGAGAGGAUGAUCAGUCACACUGGAACUAGGACACGGUCCAGACUCCUACGGGAGGCAGCAGUGGGGAAUAUUGGACAAUGGGGGGAACCCUGAUCCAGCCAUGCCGCGUGUGUGAAGAAGGUCUUAGGAUUGUAAAGCACUUUAAGUUGGGAGGAAGAGCAGUUAACUAAUAUUUGACUGUUUUGACGUUACCGACAGAAUAAGCACCGGCUAACUUCGUGCCAGCAGCCGCAGUAA
rnacentral:rRNA from 1 species